AAAUAAAACAAAAAAACGUAAAAGAAAAGGUGCGCUACAAUUUGCUAAUAGCUGGCGUAGCACCGUAAUCACCUUGUGGGCGUUCGCGGCCGGUGCUGACCUGGGAGUUCCUGGUGGAGUGAGGAGUACUGGGAGCAUGAUGUCCGGAGCGACUAAGAAGCGCUACAGCGCUCGAUUAGUCCUUCCUUCCAGCAGAUGUUUUUGAGCACCUGUCAGCGCCAAGGUCUUACGUGGUGGAGCAUCCAGGUUUAAUUUCCCUGGGAAGGAAAAGAACUCAGAGUCCCAUAGAGAAAAUUCUUCAGCUAUAAGGAAGUCAGAAAGAUGGAUUUCCAAAACCAAACGUCUCCUGUAGCAUGUGGAUCUCUGCAAGCAGAGUCU